GGGCCAAGUUCUUGUUACUGUUUUGAAAUCAAUACCCCUUCCAUUAUAUGUUAACAGAGCAAAAUGGCUUUGAGACAGCCAGGGGGUAGAAAUUCUGAUUCUAUCUCUCCUCUACCAGUCGACCAACAGAUGAUUCCUCAUCCAACAAGUGCGCAUUCGCAUUCGAUGCCUCUGACGUGGGAGGACCUGACACGGAAGGACACUCCAGGCCUUUCUUGUAAACCGGUCAAAUCCAAGGAAAAGCCCUACGGGGACCAAGGCGAUGGGGACCUCCUCCUUGCCCUCCCAUCCCCCACCACGCGACCGGGGCCUGUGCAAGAAACGGUGCCCUCAGGAAGGGGUGACGGACAGAUGGACGGUGUGCUGACCGCUGACCCAAGUGGCCAGUCCCUCCGCAGCUACAUAGGAGGUUCCAGAAACAUUGCCUGUACGUACAUCACUUGGCGUUUGCCAGAAGCAACUAAAACUCCUGACUGGGAAGUGGGGAGCGAGUGCUUCGUGGGGACAGAGUUUCUGUUGGGAAAGAGGAAAGGAGACAGACCGUGUUAACGUUUGCACAGCGAUAUGGAAGUUCAUGCCGUGGAACCACACACUUAGAAAUGGUAAACUUUAUCUGAUGAAUAUUUUACCCCAACAAAAAAAUGACUAUGUAAAAAAAUAAAAUGUUUAUUCAAACACA